GGAAGUAUAAAAGCGUAACAAGGUUUCCGUAGGUGAACCUGCGGAAGGAUCAUUACAGUAUUCUUUUGCCAGCGCUUAACUGCGCGGCGAAAAACCUUACACACAGUGUCUUUUUGAUACAGAACUCUUGCUUUGGUUUGGCCUAGAGAUAGGUUGGGCCAGAGGUUUAACAAAACACAAUUUAAUUAUUUUUACAGUUAGUCAAAUUUUGAAUUAAUCUUCAAAACUUUCAACAACGGAUCUCUUGGUUCUCGCAUCGAUGAAGAACGCAGCGAAAUGCGAUAAGUAAUAUGAAUUGCAGAUUUUCGUGAAUCAUCGAAUCUUUGAACGCACAUUGCGCCCUCUGGUAUUCCAGAGGGCAUGCCUGUUUGAGCGUCAUUUCUCUCUCAAACCCCCGGGUUUGGUAUUGAGUGAUACUCUUAGUCGGACUAGGCGUUUGCUUGAAAAGUAUUGGCAUGGGUAGUACUAGAUAGUGCUGUCGACCUCUCAAUGUAUUAGGUUUAUCCAACUCGUUGAAUGGUGUGGCGGGAUAUUUCUGGUAUUGUUGGCCCGGCCUUACAACAACCAAACAAGUUGACCUCAAAUCAGGUAGGAUGCCCGGUUCCC
rnacentral:rRNA from 1 species